rnacentral:rRNA from 1 species
AGAGUUUGAUCCUGGCUCAGGACGAACGCUGGCGGCACGCUUAACACAUGCAAGUCGAACGAGAGAAGAGGAGCUUGCUUUUCUGAUCUAGUGGCGGACGGGUGAGUAACACGUGAGCAAUCUGCCUUUCAGAGGGGGAUACCGAUUGGAAACGAUCGUUAAUACCGCAUAGCAUAAUUGAACCGCAUGAUUUGAUUAUCAAAGAUUUAUCGCUGAAAGAUGAGCUCGCGUCUGAUUAGCUAGUUGGUAAGGUAACGGCUUACCAAGGCGACGAUCAGUAGCCGGACUGAGAGGUUGAUCGGCCACAUUGGGACUGAGACACGGCCCAGACUCCUACGGGAGGCAGCAGUGGGGAAUAUUGCACAAUGGAGGAAACUCUGAUGCAGCGAUGCCGCGUGAGGGAAGAAGGUUUUAGGAUUGUAAACCUCUGUCUUCAGGGACGAAAAAAGACGGUACCUGAGGAGGAAGCUCCGGCUAACUACGUGCCAGCAGCCGCGGUAAUACGUAGGGAGCGAGCGUUGUCCGGAAUUACUGGGUGUAAAGGGAGCGUAGGCGGGAUCGCAAGUCAGAUGUGAAAACUAUGGGCUUAACCCAUAAACUGCAUUUGAAACUGUGGUUCUUGAGUGAAGUAGAGGUAAGCGGAAUUCCUAGUGUAGCGGUGAAAUGCGUAGAUAUUAGGAGGAACAUCAGUGGCGAAGGCGGCUUACUGGGCUUUAACUGACGCUGAGGCUCGAAAGCGUGGGGAGCAAACAGGAUUAGAUACCCUGGUAGUCCACGCCGUAAACGAUGAUUACUAGGUGUGGGGGGACUGACCCCUUCCGUGCCGCAGCAAACGCAAUAAGUAAUCCACCUGGGGAGUACGACCGCAAGGUUGAAACUCAAAGGAAUUGACGGGGGCCCGCACAAGCAGUGGAGUAUGUGGAUUAAUUCGAAGCAACGCGAAGAACCUUACCAGGUCUUGACAUCGUAUGCAUAGCUCAGAGAUGAGUGAAAUCUCUUCGGAGACAUAUAGACAGGUGGUGCAUGGUUGUCGUCAGCUCGUGUCGUGAGAUGUUGGGUUAAGUCCCGCAACGAGCGCAACCCUUACUGUUAGUUGCUACGCAAGAGCACUCUAGCAGGACUGCCGUUGACAAAACGGAGGAAGGUGGGGAUGACGUCAAAUCAUCAUGCCCCUUAUGACCUGGGCCUCACACGUACUACAAUGGCUGUCAACAGAGGGAAGCAAAGCCGCGAGGUGGAGCGAACCCCUAAAAGCAGUCUUAGUUCGGAUUGUAGGCUGCAACCCGCCUACAUGAAGUCGGAAUUGCUAGUAAUCGCAGAUCAGCAUGCUGCGGUGAAUACGUUCCCGGGCCUUGUACACACCGCCCGUCACGCCAUGGGAGUCGGUAACACCCGAAGCCUGUAGUCUAACCGCAAGGAGGACGCAGUCGAAGGUGGGAUUGAUGACUGGGGUGAAGUCGUAACAAGGUA